CCGAACUUAGUUAUAGCUGGUUGCCUAAGAAAUGAAUAGAAGUUCAGCCUCGCACCCCUCAACUCACAAACACACCUUAAAACACGAACUUGAGAAACACGCGAGAGUCAGUCAAAGGGGGUACAGCCCCUUUGAAACAGGAUACAACCUCAUCAGGAGGUUAAAGAUUAUACUAAACAAGAUACACCGCUUUAGUGGGCCUAAAAGCAGCCAUCUAAAUAGAAAGCGUUAAAGCUCCUGCGGAUCAAAAAUCUAUUAUAUAAAUAUCUUAUCUAAAACCCCUAAUUCUACUAGGCCAUUCCAUGCCAACAUGGAAGAGACACUGCUAAAAUGAGUAAUAAGAAGGUAACGCCCUUCUCCUAACGCCUACGUGUACGCUAGACCGGACCACCCGCUAGCAAUUACCGAACCCAACAAAAGAGGGCAAUGUAGCAUCACUAAAUAUCAAGAAAUACCUACAACCCAAAUCGUUAAACCCACACUGGAAGGCCAUUUAAAGGAAAGACUAAAAGAAGAGGAAGGAACUCGGCAAACACAAGCCUCGCCUGUUUACCAAAAACAUCGCCUCCUGCAAAGCCCAACAUAUAGGAGGUCUUGCCUGCCCAGUGACUAAU
rnacentral:rRNA from 1 species